GGGCGUAAAGCGUGCGUAGCGGCGUUUUAAGUUCGGAUGUGAAAUCCCCGAGCUUAACUUGGGAAGUUGCAUUCGAUACUGGAAGCUAGAGUAUGGGAGAGGAUGGUAGAAUUCCAGGUGUAGCGGUGAAAUGCGUAGAGAUCUGGAGGAAUACCGAUGGCGAAGGCAGCCACUCUGGCCUAAUACUGACGCUGAGGUACGAAAGCAUGGGGAGCAAACAGGAUUAGAUACCCCUGGUAG
rnacentral:rRNA from 1 species